CGCUUUUUAUUGUUCCGUUUUCAAGGCUUAUUUUAAAAAACCUGGGCAGUGGUAACAGGAACGGUUCGACGACAUGGUAGUUUGUAUUAAGCUUAUGUUAUUUGUGCAGUAGUAUACAGCCGUUAGUUUUGAAACUCGCCAAAGGAUUUUUGCCCGUCAUUUCAGAAAGAAUCCUUCCUUACUGCUUUGUACAGUGGCCCGAACGUUCAAAAUUGUUUAAUUUGCCUUAAGCCAGUUGCUUAGCAUUUCUGAUGAUGGUUUUUUAAAUAAGGUAAAAAAAUACAUGCAUCCUGCUGCCUUUCUUUUUUAAGUCUUCGAUACAAGAGUUGACUUAAUACCAACAUUGGUUAAAACAUGGACAUGUGGCCUGUUUGCUUUUCCGCAAACUGGUGUUAAUGUGGGGGUGCUGGUAUGAAUGUGAUGCGCCCACAUCACAACUCGGUGCGGAACUUUCGCCUAGGUUCUUCCACAAAUGCUUUGACAGUUGAAUAGUAAAUAGUGAGCCAAGGGAAUACCUGAUGGGGUACCGAGUGCUUUUUAAUGAGAUUUUUACAGGAAUACAUUUCUUAUUUUUUUGUGACUUUAAUAUACUGUGGCCUGGUAGAGGGUUGUUUUAGGUGUUUAAUGUUAAUUUGGGCUGGGGAGAUACUUUCAAGUUAUUUUUGAGACAUAAAGAUAUGCUAAGUUGUCUAAUAAAUCGAAAUUUCUCAAAAGUGACAAUUUGGACUAGUUGUGCACAUACAGUAAUUUCUUUUAAAAACCUAGACGAAAUGUUAAUAUAAAAGAAAGGGCAACUGGCCAAAAGAGGCAGUAAUAUACUCCAUAUUUUUAUUCCUCCAGAAAUUUUGUUGAUCCACUCACUUGUUUAGUCAGAACUUGGUAAAUUUAGGCAUUUCAGGCUUUCACUUUAUCUUAAAUUAGAUAAAGAGGAGUAAUCUUGAGACUAUAUUUGAGAGUCAUCUAGCAUUUUCUUUAUAGUUCUGGGGCAAAGCACUGAGGGAGUGCAGAAGAGGUGAAGAUUGUGGGGGAUUUUUGCACGCCAGAUACUCUCAUAAAAAUUUAAGUAACAGUGUUAGAUGUGAUUAAGUUCUGUGACUGGUGACACUUAACACCUUUAUAGACAAACAUAUGCCUGGACAAAUCACUUAACUGCCCUGGGCCUCAGUUUCUUAAUAUAAAAAAGAGAGGCUUGGGCUAGAGUCAGAAUUUCCUUUUAGCUUAAAUUUUACUGAUGUAAGCAUAUGAAUUUGAUUGGUUUAAAGUUGGAAAUUUUCCUGACAGUGGAGCAUUGUAAUUAUUCCUUUUUGCUCAGCUACCCUCCCCCACCAUCCUAUGGAAGAGAUUUGUGCAUUCUUUUUCUCCCUUAUAACUGAGUAGUUGGCAUAAAAUUUUGGCAAUAUGAUGUAUCUUCCCCCGCCCCCCCAUGUUGUCUGUGAUUAUCAGCAGGAGAAAAAAUUACUUAUUUGAAUUCAGAUCCAGCAUUUAAUCAACUUUGUAUCAGGUGGUGCCUUAGACUUUCUUAGUUGAAGUACAUAAUACAUUCAUUCAAAUUACUAGGGCAUGUGCAAUUGUGUUUCAUGAAGAUAAUAUAUAAAAAUAAAGUUUAAUUCUGUCUUGAUGCUGUAGAUAGGGAGUUUGUUUCAACAGGCCUUCCAACAUCUAACCCAGUCCUACCUUUUCAGCCUGUAUUCAGCUGCUCUCUUAUAUAAUUACUCUGCUUCAGCCAGGUUGAUGUUUUGCCUUUUCAAACAUACAUACAUGCUUUAUGUUUUCCUCCUCUUUUUUUCAAUAAAAAGUUCUCUUAGUCCUUUGAACCUCUGUAACCCUUUGUCUAAUCUUUAAGGUACUUAAAACUCUUCCAGUGUAGUUUUUUAUAUCUGUUUCUUCUGGUACAUUAGAGAAAAUACUAUUUUUUUUUGUACAUUUUUGUGUUCCUCCUGCCUUAUCCUUUAUCUUCUAUCUAGUGACUUGCAUGUAGGUGUUUAAGACCCUCAGGAGGAGAGUGAGCAGAGGUGAAGGAGGGAAAGUAAAAGGCCUACAAGUUUCGCAGUUAGGUACAAAUCUUGGUUCUACUUUUGUGUAGACAAGUUAUUUAACUUUUUGCCUCAACUUCCUUUAUCUACAAAAGGGGGUGGUUAUACCUUACUUUUUCAAGUUUGUUUCUCCAAAUUUAUUUUAUGUGUGUGUUUAUUUUUAAGUGGGGAAAAAGCCUUUUGAACCGCUGAGAACAAGUUUAUGGACUUGGUGUCUGGCACAUAUUAUGUGCUUAAUGUCCCACCCUAGUGCAGAAGUAGAAGGGGAGGAGGUGAGAGAAGACGCUGAACUGUCAGGUCAAUUAUUGUCAAACCUAGACUAUUCUCUGGAACUACAGGUUUUGUUAUCAUUGUUCUUUGAAAUGUUAAUUAGCUGAUUAUCACUAUUUGUUUUUCAUUUGCUUUGUAUGUUUAAACCUCCUGAAACUUUCAGUGAAUGAAAUAGCAAUGCUCCAGAGAAUUACUAUACUUUCUGGACCACAGAAGCAGAAAUUACUGUGGGCACUACUUUUUGUGUCAGUUUUUCUUCCUUGCUGUAAAUACUGGGGCAUGCUUUAUCACUUACCAGUAAGUAUAAUUUCUUUCAUUGGCAUGGGACUUGAUAAAUUCUGUACUGGGGAUUUUAAGUUUUUCAUUAAACUUGUAAGUCCUCAGCUGAUGUAACAAGUUUCAUAAGUAAAAUCAAAUCCUGUUAGAGUUGGAAGGACUUGUUGAGUGGAAAACUUUUACUCUCUGAGAUAUUUGGAGUCCUGUAAAUUAAUCAUGAUCAAAUCUCUACUCAGGGCACAUGAAUAUUUUUUGGUGUUUUAAUUAGAGUUUAGAAACAAAAUGGUUCUGGCUUUUGAUUUACUUAGUAGUUUUGGACCUUCUUACAUAAAAUGGGAAGGGAGUGGGGAUUAGUGUUUUCUACUCAUUUAGGGCGACAUAGGCCAACAAGUUUUUGUUUUGAAUGUGAAGGACUAAAGACAAAAAAUCCUAUCAUCUUUUUGUACUACUGCUUACGUGUACAAAAGAUACUACUUCUAGUGUACCACUAGAAGGUAGGUGGUUCCCUGAGGGUGAGAGCUUUUCUUGUCUUGUUUAUCAUUGUAGUCUUGUAUCUGACACUUAACUGGCUUGUUGAAUGGAUGAU